rnacentral:rRNA from 1 species
UACAGAGGUCUCAAGCGUUGUUCGGAUUCAUUGGGCGUAAAGGGUGUGUAGGUGGCGCCGUAAGUCGGGGUGUGAAAUUUUCGGAGCUUAACUCCGAAACUGCAUUCGAUACUGCGGUGCUUGAGGACUGGAGAGGAGACUGGAAAUUCAUGGUGUAGCAGUGAAAUGGCGUAGAGAUCAUGAGGAAGACCAGUGGCGAAGGCGGGUCUCUGGACAGUUCCUGACACUGAGACACGAAGGCCCAGGGGAGCAAACGGG